UACGUAGGUGGCGAGCGUUGUCCAGAUUUACUGGGCGUAAAGCGUGCGCAGGCGGUUUUGUAAGCCAGAUGUGAAAUCCCCGGGCUUAACCUGGGAAUGGCAUUUGGGACUGCAAGGCUGGAGUGCGGCAGAGGAGACUGGAAUUCCUGGUGUAGCAGUGAAAUGCGUAGAUAUCAGGAGGAAUACCGAUGGCGAAGGCAGGUCUCUGGGCUGACACUGACGCUCAUGCACGAAAGCGUGGGGAGCAAACAGG
rnacentral:rRNA from 1 species